AGAUCUGUGCAUUUCUUUGUGUGUGACUUACAGGUGGACUUAAAGGAACAGUUGGAGGGUGGGAGAGGGCUCAGACUAGAGUGCUGCUGUGCCUGUGUGAGGGCCUGAGUCCUGAGCUCCAGAAUCCAUGUGCAACCUGGUGGGGGGGGGUGUAACCAUGGCGAUGGGGAGGCAGAGGCUGGUGGGUCCUGGAGACUGGCUGGCCAUUCUUUGUGUUGGAAAUUGGAACUCCAUGUUCACAGAGACACCCUCUCUCAAAGAGACCGAAGAAGACACCUCUGGCCUUUACAUGCACAGCCUGGCCUGUCCCUGGGUCAGCUGUAGUCCAGCCUGUCCUCUGGGGAGCUGAGAGGAUGCUCACCGGCUCAACUCCAGCUUUUAGCCUUUGAGGUCCCAACCUCAAGGCCUGAGAGCAGAUAGUGUGGAGACCAGAGGGUGAGCUGAACUCUGCUGGAUGAAAACAUCUCGUGGGGGACUGGGAUCUCCUGACAAGCACUGGCCUCUUCUCCUACCUGGAUGCUUCCGCUGAGCACAAAGGGAUCCUGGCCAUCUCCUGUGUGGACCAGCUGGGUCCCCUACAGUCUGUGGGCUCAGAGCAGCCUUUCAGUCUCCCCUUGAAGCAGGGAGCCAGAGAGCUGGUCUCUGGCCACAGUGGCUGUUCGAAGCUCACACACCAUGGGGCUGACCUGCAGAUGCCCCCUGACCGACCCUGUAUCCCUUGGGCAGGUCACAGACCCUAAAACAGGAGGAGGACCCCUCCACCCUCCCCACACCACCCCCGUACACAAUGACCCCACAAUGUUGAGUCUAAACAGGAGGAAACUUUGGCCUCUGUCACUAUUUUUCUUUAUGUUUUUAAUUAAAUUUCUGGGGUCACUGACACCCUGGAGCAAGAGAACUACAA